rnacentral:rRNA from 1 species
AUGGCCCCUGGACGCCUACGAUGGUCGGCGGCCGCGCUCGUCCUGCUCUUCCUUGCCGCCGGGGCGGCGGCGGAGGCUGCACGCAGGGAGGCUGUGACCUCGCCGCACGGCGCCGUGGCGGCCGACGACGAGCGGUGCUCCAGGAUCGGGCGUGACGCGCUCCGCUGUGGCGGCACCGCCGUGGACGCCGCAGUCGCCACGUCGCUCUGCCUCGGCGUGGUCAGCCCCGCGUCCAGCGGCAUCGGCGGGGGCGCGUUCAUGCUCGUCAGGCUCACCGACGGCACGGCCGUCGUUUACGACUCCCGUGAGACCGCGCCGCUGGCGGCUACAAAGGACAUGUACGGCGGCAAUGACACGCUGAAAGCCAGGGGCGCGCUCUCCAUCGGAGUCCCGGGUGAAAUCGCGGGCCUCUACGAGGCAUGGAAGCGCCACGGCAAGCUCCCAUGGAAGGAACUGGUGAUGCCGGCCGCGAAGCUCGCCUGGGCGUUCACGGUGUCGCCGUACCUCCACAUGCAGAUGAAAGCGACCGAAGCCGGCAUCCUCGGCAACGCCGGGAUGCGGGCCGUGUACGCCUGCAACGGGGAGAUCCUCAAGGUCGGCGACGUGUGCCGCAACGGCAAGCUCGCGUGGACCCUCGAGGCCGUCGCGGAGAGAGGGCCGGCCGCGUUCUACAGUGGCCCGGUGGCGGACCUGCUGGUGAAGGACGUGAAGGAGGCCGGAGGGAUCAUGACCAAGGAGGACCUGGAGAAGUAUCAGGUUAAGGUGCGCCGGCCGCUCUCGCAGAGUGUCAUGGGCCUUACCGUGCUCAGCAUGCCUCCUCCUUCUGCCGGUGGUGCCGGCCUCAUGCUGGUUUUGAACAUCCUGGCUCAGUAUGGAGUUUCUGGUAUCUCUGGCUCUCUUGGGAUUCAUCGCCUUGUUGAAUCCUUGAAACAUUACAUGGCAGUGAAGAUGAAUCUUGGAGAUCCCGACUUUGUUGAUGUUGGUGCGGUUGUCUCUGAUAUGCUCUCCCCCAAGUUUGCUGCUGAGCUGAGAAGAACGAUUUACGAUAAUAUGACAUUCUCACCUCAACAUUAUGGUGGAAGGUGGAACAUCCUUCAGGACCACGGGACCAGCCACCUAUCCAUCGUGGACGGCGAGAGGAACGCCGUCUCGAUGACGAGCACCGUCAACGCCUACUUCGGAUCCCUGAUACUGUCCCCGAGCACAGGCGUUCUCCUCAACAACGAGAUGGACGACUUCUCCAUGCCGGCGAACACCACCGCGAACACUCCGCCGCCGGCUCCCAACAACUUCGUGGCCCCUCUGAAGCGCCCCCUCUCCUCCAUGUGUCCAACCAUCGUUCUCAAGGAUGGGAAGCUGAAGGCCGCGGUGGGCGCCAGCGGCGGGAGCAUGAUCCCUGCCGGGACGAUCGAGGUGCUCCUCAACCACUUCGCCAAGAACAUGGAUCCGUUGUCCUCUGUCAUGGCGCCGCGAGUUUAUCACCAGCUUAUCCCGAACGAGGUUAAGUACGAGAACUGGACGACGGUGACCGGCGACGUAUUCUUGCUGGACGCGGCGACGAGAGGCGAUCUGCUGAAGAAAGGCCACGUCCUGGAGCCGCUCGCCGGGGGAACCAUAAGCCAGCUCGUGGUGCACAACGUCGAGGGCCGCGGGGACCUGACCGCCGUGAGCGAUCCCAGGAAAGGCGGCGUCCCGGCGGGGUACUGA